GGGCCCGUAGCUCAGCCUGGAUAGAGCGACUGGCUUCGAACCAGUAGGUUCGUGGGUUCGAAUCUGCAAACCGGCAAUCGUUUUGACUUGCCGCCUUGUAGCGUUAAUCCCACCGGGCCCG
rnacentral:tRNA from 1 species